rnacentral:rRNA from 1 species
UACGUAGGAGACGAGCGUUGUCCGGAAUUACUGGGCGUAAAGCGCGUGUAGGCGGAUCGGCAAGUCUGCUGUGAAAGCUCCUGGCUUAACCGGGAGUGGUCGGUGGAAACUGCGGGUCUGGAGGACGGUAGAGGCUGGUGGAAUUCCCGGUGUAGUGGUGAAAUGCGUAGAGAUCGGGAGGAACACCUGUGGCGAAGGCGGCCAGCUGGGCCGGACCUGACGCUGAGACGCGAAGGCGUGGGGAGCGAACGGG